AGAGAGAAAGAGAGAGAGAGAGGUCGAUACAAAAAAUAAAUAAGUGAGAGAAAAAGAGAUACAAUAUUUUAUUAUUAAGAUUCUUUUCUUUUAUUUUUUUAUCUUUCUGUCCGUAUAUAACUUUCAUUUUUCCAGCGAUGUUGAUUGCAGUCACUUUGAGAUUGUCUUGGAUUUAUUUCUUCAUCAGCAUUGCCAGAGCAGAAGGCGGCUGCGGUACUGGAUGGUUCGGCAACUAUUGUCAGUACAAAUGUCACUGCAAGAGCUCGGCCUGUGACACCAACGGUGACUGUGUCAAUGUGACCUGUGAGAGAGGAUGGUUUGGCUACAAAUAGGAUCUAAGUUCUCUAGCAGACACAUCACAUCCAAGUCUGGUAGAUGGGGACGACACAACAUGUAACGAGGACGUGUAUAGCUCAAGUGUCUCCUUAAAUCUGAAUACAUCUUUCAUUUUUACAUGGAUGAGAUUAGUUUUUAAAU